rnacentral:rRNA from 1 species
GGAGGAUCCAAGCGUUAUCCGGAUUUAUUGGGUUUAAAGGGUGCGUAGGUGGUUCUUUAAGUCAGGGGUGAAAGACGGCAGCUUAACUGUCGCAGUGCCUUUGAUACUGAAGAACUUGAAUACACUAGAGGUAGGCGGAAUGUGACAAGUAGCGGUGAAAUGCAUAGAUAUGUCACAGAACACCAAUUGCGAAGGCAGCUUACUAUGGUGUCAUUGACACUGAGGCACGAAAGCGUGGGGAUCAAACAGGAUUAGAUACCCUGGUAGUCCACGCCCUAAACGAUGAAUACUCGAUGUUGGCGAUAUACGGUCAGCGUCUAAGCGAAAGCGUUAAGUAUUCCACCUGGGGAGUACGCCCGCAAGGGUG